AUUGAACGCUGGCGGCAGGCUUAACACAUGCAAGUCGAGCGGGGGAAGGUAGCUUGCUACUGGACCUAGCGGCGGACGGGUGAGUAAUGCUUAGGAAUCUGCCUAUUAGUGGGGGACAACAUCUCGAAAGGGAUGCUAGUACCGCAUACGUCCUACGGGAGAAAGCAGGGGAUCUUCGGACCUUGCGCUAAUAGAUGAGCCUAAGUCGGAUUAGCGAGUUGGUGGGCUAAAGGCCUACCAAGGCGACGAUCUGUAGCGGGUCUGAGAGGAUGAUCCGCCACACUGGGACUGAGACACGGCCCAGACUCCUACGGGAGGCAGCAGUGGGGAAUAUCGGACAAUGGGGGGAACCCUGAUCCAGCCAUGCCGCGUGUGUGAAGAAGGCCUUAUGGUUGUAAAGCACUUUAAGCGAGGAGGAGGCUACUCUAGUUAAUACCUAGGGAUAGUGGACGUUACUCGCAGAAUAAGCACCGGCUAACUCUGUGCCAGCAGCCGCCGUAA
rnacentral:rRNA from 1 species